UACGGGGGGGAGCAAGCGUUGUUCGGAUUUACUGGGCGUAAAGGGCGCGUAGGCGGCGCAACAAGUCACUUGUGAAAUCUCCGGGCUUAACCCGGAGCGGCCAAGUGAUACUGUCGUGCUAGAGUGCGGAAGGGGCUACUGGAAUUCCUGGUGUAGCGGUGAAAUGCGCAGAUAUCAGGAGGAACACCAAUGGCGAAGGCAGCUCGCUGGAACGGUACUGACGCUGAGGCGCGAAAGCGUGGGGAGCAAACAGG
rnacentral:rRNA from 1 species